GACGAACGCUGGCGGCGUGCUUAACACAUGCAAGUCGAACGGUGAAAGCGGAGCUUGCUCCGCUGGAUCAGUGGCGAACGGGUGAGUAACACGUGGGCAACCUGCCCCUCACUUCGGGAUAACUCCGGGAAACCGGGGCUAAUACCGGAUACGACCUCCUUGGGCAUCCUGGGAGGUGGAAAGUUUUUCGGUGAGGGAUGGGCCCGCGGCCUAUCAGCUUGUUGGUGAGGUAGUGGCUCACCAAGGCGACGACGGGUAGCCGGCCUGAGAGGGCGACCGGCCACACUGGGACUGAGACACGGCCCAGACUCCUACGGGAGGCAGCAGUGGGGAAUAUUGCGCAAUGGGCGAAAGCCUGACGCAGCAACGCCGCGUGCGGGAUGAAGGCCUUCGGGUUGUAAACCGCUUUCAGCAGGGAAGAAGCCGCAAGGUGACGGUACCUGCAGAAGAAGCACCGGCUAACUACGUGCCAGCCGCCGCCGUAA
rnacentral:rRNA from 1 species